rnacentral:rRNA from 1 species
GACGAACGCUGGCGGCGUGCUUAACACAUGCAAGUCGAACGGAAAGGCCCUGCUUGCUGGGUGCUCGAGUGGCGAACGGGUGAGUAACACGUGGGUGAUCUGCCCCUUACUUUGGGAUAAGCCUGGGAAACUGGGUCUAAUACUGGAUAGGACCAUGCUGUAGGUGGUGUGGUGGAAAGAUUAGUUUCGGUAAGGGAUGAGCUCGCGGCCUAUCAGCUUGUUGGUGGGGUAAUGGCCUACCAAGGCGUCGACGGGUAGCCGGCCUGAGAGGGUGGACGGCCACAUUGAGACUGAGAUACGGCGCAGACUCCUACGGGAGGCAGCAGUGGGGAAUAUUGCACAAUAGGCGCAAGCCUGAUGCAGCGACGCCGCGUGGAGGAUGACGGCCUUCGGGUUGUAAACUCCUUUCAGCCAUGACGAAGCCCUUGUGGUGACGGUAGUGGUAGAAGAAGCACCGGCUAACUACGUG